rnacentral:rRNA from 2 species
UGGGGAAUAUUGCACAAUGGAGGGAACUCUGAUGCAGCGACGCCGCGUGAACGAAGAAGGCUUUCGAGUCGUAAAGUUCUUUUAUAUGGGAAGAUAAUGACGGUACCAUAAGAAGAAGCCCCGGCUAACUACGUGCCAGCAGCCGCGGUAAUACGUAGGGGGCUAGCGUUGUCCGGAAUCACUGGGCGUAAAGGGUUCGCAGGCGGAAAUGCAAGUCAGGUGUAAAAGGCAGUAGCUUAACUACUGUAAGCAUUUGAAACUGCAUAUCUUGAGAAGAGUAGAGGUAAGUGGAAUUUUUAGUGUAGCGGUGAAAUGCGUAGAUAUUAAAAAGAAUACCGGUGGCGAAGGCGACUUACUGGGCUCAUUCUGACGCUGAGGAACGAAAGCGUGGGUAGCAAACAGG